rnacentral:lncRNA from 1 species
CGGGGUCAAGGGCCUACCCCAGGGCCAGUCCUAUGGUUAGAGAAGGGGAGGAUCACACUUUAAGAUGCCAGCCCCAGUUCAACCCCAGGACCAUCAUGUGAAAUGGAAAAUCUCCAAAACGAGAAUCAGAGCUGUGUCUGUAUGAUACCUUCGGUGUAUGAAACAUCACAUGUUGCCCAUGGGUCAGUGAAGGGUCAUCUGAAGCCACUAACGAUGGCUUCCUUCAGAUCCCGCACUCUCUCUUACCGUCUGUGAACGUACAAUAUCACAAGCGCACGGGGCGAAGCUACGGGAACCAGUUACUGCCCGCCGCGUUACCCUGGGGCUGCAGAUACGAACAUCCGCCUUCCGUGAGUUCAGUGGGAG